rnacentral:rRNA from 1 species
AUUGAACGCUGGCGGCAGGCCUAACACAUGCAAGUCGAACGAGUGGCGGACGGGUGAGUAAUGUCCGGGAAACUGCCCGAUGGAGGGGGAUAAAUACUGGAAACGGUAGCUAAUACCGCGUACCAUCGGAUGUGCCCACAUGGGAUUUGCUAGUGGGGGGGGGAAAAGCUCACCUAGGGGACGAGCCCUCGAUGGUCUGAGAGGAUGACCAGCCAAACUGGAACUGAGACACGGUCCAGACUCCUACGGGAGGCAGCAGUGGGGAAUAUUGCACAAUGGGCGCAAGCCUGAUGCAGCCAUGCCGCGUGUAUGAAGAAGGCCUUCGGGUUGUAAAGUACUUUCAGCGAGGAGUCGUUACUCGCAGAAGAAGCACCGGCUAACUCCGUGCCAGCAGCCGCGGUAAUAC